rnacentral:rRNA from 1 species
AGUGAACGCUGGCGGUAGGCCUAACACAUGCGAGUCGAACGGCAGCACAGUAAGAGCUUGCUCUUACGGGUGGCGAGUGGCGGACGGGUGAGGAAUACAUCGGAAUCUACUUUUUCGUGGGGGAUAACGUAGGGAAACUUACGCUAAUACCGCAUACGACCUACGGGUGAAAGCAGGGGAACUUCGGACCUUGCGCGAUUGAAUGAGCCGAUGUCGGAUUAGCUAGUUGGCGGGGUAAAGGCCCACCAAGGCGACGAUCCGUAGCUGGCCUGAGAGGAUGAUCAGCCACACUGGGACUGAGACACGGUCCAGACUCCUACAGGAGGCAGCAGUGGGGAAUAAUGGACAAUGGGGGCGAGCCUGAUCCAGCCAUACCGCGUAGGUGAAGAAGGCCUUCGGGUUGUAAAGGCCAUUUGUUGGGAAAGAAGAACAGCAGGUUAAUAUCCCGCUGUUCUGACGGUACCCGAAGAAGAAGCACCGGCUAACUUCGUG